rnacentral:rRNA from 1 species
ACUCCUACGGGAGGCAGCAGUGGGGAAUAUUGCACAAUGGGCGAAAGCCUGAUGCAGCAACGCCGCGUGAGCGAUGAAGGCCUUCGGGUCGUAAAGCUCUGUCCUAUGGGAAGAUAAUGACGGUACCAUAGGAGGAAGCCCCGGCUAACUACGUGCCAGCAGCCGCGGUAAUACGUAGGGGGCAAGCGUUAUCCGGAAUUACUGGGCGUAAAGGGUGCGUAGGCGGUUUAUCAAGUCAGGGGUGAAAGGCUACGGCUCAACCGUAGUGAGCCUCUGAAACUGGUGAACUUGAGUGUAGGAGAGGAAGGUGGAAUUCCCAGUGUAGCGGUGAAAUGCGUAGAUAUUGGGAGGAACACCAGUGGCGAAGGCGACUUUCUGGACUACAACUGACGCUGAGGCACGAAAGCGUGGGGAGCAAACAGGAUUAGAUACCCUGGUAGUC